GACGAACCGUGCAAACGUUAUUCGGAAUCACUGGGCAUAAAGGGCGCGUAGGCGGCUUCAUAAGUCAGGGGUGAAAUCCGGCAGCUUAACUGUCGCAGUGCCUUUGAUACUGUGGAGCUCGAGGGAGGUAGGGGUCUGUGGAACUUCCGGUGGAGCGGUGAAAUGCGUUGAUAUCGGAAGGAACGCCGGUGGCGAAAGCGACGGACUGGACCUCUUCUGACGCUGAGGCGCGAAAGCCAGGGGAGCAAACGGG
rnacentral:rRNA from 1 species